rnacentral:rRNA from 1 species
UACGUAGGCAGCAAGCGUUGUUCGGAAUUACUGGGCGUAAAGAGUGUGUAGGCGGUGCUCCAAGUCUGGUGUGAAAUCUCCCGGCUCAACUGGGAGGGUGCGCCGGAAACUGGAAUGCUAGAGUGUGGGAGAGGUAAGCGGAAUUCCUGGUGUAGCGGUGAAAUGCGUAGAGAUCAUGAGGAAGACCAGUGGCGAAGGCGGGUCUCUGGACAGUUCCUGACACUGAGACACGAAGGCCAGGGGAGCAAACGGG